UAAAUUUCACAGAGAGGACAUACAUGACAUAUUCAUAAUUUCUGCAAAGUUCUAAAGAAUUUGAGGUUGGCUGCAAAUUAAGGGACAUAGUAUAUCUUUAAGUAGUAGGGCAAUUUCACGGAAACGGAAUUACAAACUAGAGAUUUGUAGCUUGCUUUUUUAAAGUUUGUGUGCUUAUUUUGUACUCUGCUGCCUCUCUUCUCGCCAUCAUACUCUGCAAAUUAAAUAUGCCAAUUCUCUCACCUGAAUUCUUUCAUUGCAAAAAAUUUGUAAUUACCAUGGACAUUAAUCAUAUUGUUAAUAAUGUACCUCGAUCGACAUCUUGAAUUACCAGGGUAUGGUGCCACAUUCAAACCAAUAAAUAAGUCUUGUAAAAAAAAUGCAUUGUACCAAUAUUAAUUGUCAUGGUGGAAUUCUUUAUUGAUGAACCUUCUUUUAAUUCAAGGAGUUGGUUAUCUGAAUGAUCAGGAAUCUGAAUCUGAGUUAGGUGAUUGCUAGGUAGAGUUAGUUAGGUCAUUGUUAGGUGGAGUUAAUUGACUGUGAUUCAUAACUCUGAUGUAACUUCUCCAUGUAAUGAGAACAGUGUAGUUUGGUGUAGAUAAUAUAAAGUUGUAUCACACCCUGUAUAUAUGUAUUUCUUUUAACAUACAUGUGUAAAAGAAAAGGAAAAGAAUUCUGUAUGCACUUUAUCUGACACAUGUCAUAGAUGUCAUUACAAUGGUAUUUUGUAGUGGAUACUUACAACUUUGGUUUAACAGAUCACUAAUAUAAAACGUAUUGUGCCAGUUUUUUUUUCAUUUUACAUGAUGUAGAAAACAUGCCAUAUGCAAAAGUUAGAUUGCAUGUGUUUUCAUAAGUGUUUUGUAAGAGUGAAGUUGAUGGUUGCUAUGUUUUUGAAACUAAGUUUGUCUAGUGGGUUAAAGUAGAAGUGGUUUCAGGUGAAAACGCCAAAAUCUCAUUUUAAAAAGGGAGGAAUGUUAUAUAUGUGUCUGAAAAAAAAAUGAAAGUAUGAGAUUGUUUAUUGUAUGUAUUGUUCAUCAUCAUCUCUAUUAUUUUUGUCAUACCUCACUCAAGAGGAGCUCGCUAAAGCUGUACAUUGGUCAAUACAGGUUUAAAGCCAAGCAAUUCCAAGUAUUUUAGGGGUUUAUCUGUACAGCAUUUAUCGCAGAACACUACAUAACAUCCAUUUCAACAAAUCCUCUCUAGUUUUUCCCCCUUUUUCAUCAUCUCUAUAAUUAAUCAUAAUAAUUAUAAAUAUCAGUUUCUUUUACUUUUUUCAUCAUUUAACGAUUAUUUUAAUGCUUCAUAGAGGAUUGGAGCCCGCUUUAGCUGUACGUAGAUCAAUACAGGUUUUAAGCCAGGCGAUUCAAAGUUUUUUAAGGGUUAUUCCAUUUAUCUCAGAACACUGUUAUAAGUUUCAUCAAAAUCGUCACCUCAUUUUCCUUUUUUCAUCAUUUUCUAUGAUUAUUUUAAUACUUCGCAGACUGAUUGGAGCCCGUCAUAAGAGUUUCGGAGCCCGCUUUAGCUGUACGUACAUCAAUGCAGGUUUAAAGCCUGCCGAUUCCAAGUAUUUUAGGGGUAUAUUGUACUACAUAUUAUCUCAGAACACUACAUAAUUUAUCUCAGAACACUACAUAAUUUAUCUAACAUCAGUUUCAACAAAUCGUCACCUCAUUUUCCUUUUUUCAUCAUUUUCUAUGAUUAUUUUAAUACUUCGCAAAGAAUUGGAGCCCGUCAUAGAGUUUCGGAGCCCGCUUUAUCGCUGUACGUACAUUGUCAAUACAGGUUAUAAGCCUGGCGAUUCCAAGUAUUUUAGGGGAUUAUCUGAACUCCAUUUAUCUCACAACACGGGAUAUAACAUCAGUUUGAAUCAUUACCUCCUUUUCUUUUUUUCAUCCUCAAGCUCUACGAUUAAUAUUUUUGUUUACUUCACAAAGGAUAGAUUUGUAGCUCUCCCGAUAUGGAGCCCGCUUAAGAUGUAAUGUGAUUAAUACGAGUUAUUAUUCAUAAACUUUAGAGAGUAAUUGUUAUAUUGAUUUUGUUUUCUUUUUGUUCCAACAGAUUGAAACUGCUGAAGAGCUGGAAGGAGUUAACUGACGAGUAGACAUUACAACAUUACUAAUAUUUGCAAGAUGAAGCUGAAAGUGCCAUGCAGGAUGAUGCUUCUCUACAGUGGAUGAUGAAUGCAUGCUGAUUACAAACCCAGGAGAGGAACAAAGAACAGAUAUUGACAGAAUCAUAUUUAGAGAUGCGGGCCUACCACACCUCGUACGAGCAAGUGUGCUAAUAUGCAAUACUUGGGUUAUCAUUACAGCCCUUUCUUCUGAAAACUAUGCUAUAACUGUAUUGAUGAAUGCAGGAGACAUCUACAUGGGACUACGUCUUAAAGAUGUCACCCUCAUAUAAUGAAAGAGGACAGUAGAGAUGGGUUUAAAUUUGAGUAUUUACAUGAUAUUUAUUUAUUAUUAGUAUUAUAUGUUUGUAGAAUACCACAUUCAAUAAAGCUAAUGAAUUUAUCAUCUUGUCAACUUUUAAAUAAUUACAGAUUAUUACAGAACAUUAAAAUUUUAACAAUGUCAAUUACCAUCUUAUAGGAGGACUGGGCAGAAAUUUUUUCCUUGAAAUUUGAGUGAUAAAGAUCUAAUUACUUGUAUGUUAAACGCUUAGAAACAUUGAAUUAAGCGCUUUAUAAAUGUAAUUUAUUAUUAUUAUUAUUAUUAUUAUCAAUCUAUAUCAAAGAUUGA